ACUAGCAGGCCUGUGAAGGACCAGCUCUCUGGAGAUAAUGACACAUUUUGUCCUGAUAAUCUUCAGAUGUUAAUACCUUAAAAGUUACUCAGUUGAAGUUGCUUUCAAAUUAAACACCAUUGCUAUAGUGUUUCUGUUGUGAUUGUCGGAGGGAAGUGGAGCCAGUGCAAUUUGUCCAUGUUUUACAAAUCACCAUCUGGCAGGGAUAUGGCAACAUGUGAAAUCUUCACAGGACUCUUGUUUUUCUACUAUCUGCUGGAUAACUAAGGAGAUCACCAGACUGCUGGGAUGCCUGCCAGAUGGUAAGCAGGACUAUGGAUUGUGUGUUGAAACUUCCAGUGUUUGAAGAUCUGCUUCUUUGCCCUUUGAACCCUGAGCAAGGAACCUUUCCAAGCAGUGUGAACUCACUGGCUUCCCCAUAACGCUACAGAGCUCACGCUGCCAUAUAACUGGGAAUCGGAGAGGGCUGCUCCUUUUUGAACGAAGAAAAAAAGAAAAGAAAGAUGUAUCCAGAGCAUCGUCCUCCAAACAAACAAGAAGAGCACAUAUUUGCAAGCUAUAUAGUAAAGUUGUUGCAAUGAAGAUUUUGAUUUUAAUUAAGAAUGGGAUUUGUAGGACAAUUAGUGAGAUGUAAUAUUCUUUGCAAGAAACAGUACCCUUAUUGGAAAUACCACCUAAAAUGGAGCGGGGGCAUUUGGAGCUGCACAGAGACUUAUAUCUAUGGGUUUCUACAGUUAAUGAGGAAGAAAAAUACAAGGAAAAUGUAGGUACCUCACCUGAAAUGCAGGAAUACAAAUACCGUUUGCCUGGUUUUUUUUCCCCUCCUUAAUUUUUCUUUUUAAUUUAAACCAUAGAAAUCUGUGCUGUUGAGAUUUCAACCAGGUAAUCAUCUUAUCAUUAAUACGUUUAUGUUAUUUCUUCACAUUGACUUUAAACCACUGAUCAUUAGGAGUAUACCUCAUCUUUUUUGAUGAUUUUACAAGGACAUAAUAAUAUACUUAAUAGUAAUAAAGGCAACAAACUCUCCAGUUAUUUUUGGUAUGCUCAGCUGUCCUGACAUUAAAAAGAGGGCUUUUUCUUACAGUAUAGAAAAUAAUUUGUGUAAUUGCUUAAAUGUUGGAAUGACCAUUUCCUUUACAGUACAUAAAUUUUCAUGUGUUAUAAAAACUAACAAUGUAUUUAUUAAUCAAAUGCCUGAUAAUUUCCCAUGUCUAUUCAAUUAAUUUCAUAACAAAAUUUUCAUUUUUCCUUUAUAAGCAAUAAGAUUAAACAUUACCAAGUGAGUUAAGGGAUCUCCUUUCUCUAGCAGAUGGAAAAGAUACUAACAGUGAGUAUGUCACCAGAUAUUAUGCUGUCAAUAAUAAAGGCCAAAUACAUAUAAUCACAUAUAUGUCAUUUUAAACAGUGUAGUAAGCCCAAAACUCUUCACUAUUUAUUCUAUAGUAUUAAGCAUAUUCUAUCUGCCAGGCAUUACACCAAACAAUGGUAGAGUACAAUAUGCAAUGAGGAUAUCUUAAUGCAGUUUAUCAUAUGCUGGAAUGACAUACAUCUAAACCAGUAUAAUCAGUCACACUGUGUGAAGGGCAGUAGAUACACAAAUAGGUAUAAGAUUUCUUUCAUUGUACAAAUUGAAAGUGCAAAUUCCCCACUAUGGCAGGCAGGCUGGAUAGAAUCUAUGGUAGCUUUUGAAUUCCCACCUGAAAAGCAUCAUGGGAAGUAUAUUAGGGUUGAGAAUGAGAUGUACAGAAUUUAACUUGGGGAAGGGGUAAAAAAGAACACUAAAGGGAACAGAAACAUGUGGAUUAUAAUAAGGAAUAUUUAGUGGCCCAUUAUUUGAUGAUGCUAUUUAUAUGGGAUUAGGGCAAGGCAGGUCUGGAAGUUCAGAUUGAGGCCAUAGUGUAGCUGGUGGCCCUUAAGUGCUAUCCUCAACUGCAAUCGAUUGGUGUAGGAAGAGAUGGGGAGCCGGAUAAGGACCUCCAAGGCUACUUGAGGAUUUCAAAUGAGAAGGGAUGAGAGAAUGGGUUUUUUUCUGUGCCAAAGGAAAGGAGAAGAUGCAUGAAACAGAAAAAAAAUGUGCUUUGGAAACCAGAUAUGGUGGCUGAGAAGAGGAAAGGAGCCAAUGUGAUCACAAAGGUCUUACACCAGGCCGGCUGGAUCUAUAAAUGGUUCGACCACGUGAAAUUGCCAACUCAAUACAUCCUUCAAAUAAUAUUUGAAGAAAGGCAGUAGAGAGGGAAGAAAGCUCCAAGGAGAAAAAUGUGGUUUGUGUCCAGAUUCAAGAAACAAAAGGAUGAAGUAGAGUCAGUAAAAUGGUUACAUGAAAGUCUCCUGUAGAGCUAGAAUUCACACUUAAUUUCCUUAGUAUAACUGAAACAUGGGAGAGUUGUUUUUCCCUCCAGUGUUAGCUUCAAAAUAUAACAGACUUCAUAUUUUGUAUAACUUUCCAAAACCUAAAAUUCCUGAUUCAUCAUUUUGCUCCUUUACUGUCCUUUAACUAAAGCCCUAUGUGUGGCAUUUUUAAAAUGAAAUUUCAGUUUAAAAAUAUGUCUUUGUACACUUUAUUUCAGAACACAGUAAAAUAUAAACAUAACACUUCACCAAUUCAAGCACGCAACCAACCUACCAGUUACGAUAACUUUGUAGUUAUUAUCAAUUAUCUUCAAUUUCAAAAAAUGGUUUUCCUCAUGCAAUUUUGAAUCAUAUUUUACCUUUGAUUUAAUUCUAUAACUUCAGUGGAAAUCCAAAAGGUGUGUAUUGUCCUUUAAUAGCUGUCCCAUUAUAAGAAAUGCUAAAUCUUAA